GGAAUAUUGCACAAUGGGGGAAACCCUGAUGCAGCGACGCCGCGUGAGUGAUGAAGUAUUUCGGUAUGUAAAGCUCUAUCAGCAGGGAAGAAAAUGACGGUACCUGACUAAGAAGCCCCGGCUAACUACGUGCCAGCAGCCGCGGUAAUACGUAGGGGGCAAGCGUUAUCCGGAUUUACUGGGUGUAAAGGGAGCGCAGACGGCUUGGCAAGUCUGAAGUGAAACCCCGCAGCUCAACUGCGGGCUUGCUUUGGAAACUGCUUCGCUAGAGUGUCGGAGGGGUAAGCGGAAUUCCUAGUGUAGCGGUGAAAUGCGUAGAUAUUAGGAGGAACACCGGUGGCGAAGGCGGCUUACUGGACGACAACUGACGUUGAGGCUCGAAAGCGUGGGGAGCAAACA
rnacentral:rRNA from 1 species